rfam:Aspergillus cristatus strain GZAAS20.1005 Scaffold_Scf_4, whole genome shotgun sequence.
GCCGAGCUAGCUCAAUUGGUCAGAGCGUCGGACUUUUAUGUUCUGUAUUUCUUUGGAGUAAAUCCGAAGGUUGCGGGUUCGAGUCCCGCGUUCGGCG